UCUUAUUUUUACUAAAUAAAAAUAAAAAUCACCCUUUACACAGAACAAAAAUAGAAUUUACAAAUUUAAAGGACAUUGGAUAUUGCACAUUUUAAUUGAGAUUUUAUCAAAUGUUUUGUUUUUGGUUUUAGUGUCUUUGGAGCAUCUAAUUUCUCUUGAUGAAGGACUCGUACAGGGAGGUGAGCUGGGCCUGCAGGUCCUGUGCGUAGGGAUCCAGCUUUUCCUUCAGGUCUUCAGCGUAGGGUGUGAGACUCUGCUGGACCAUCUGGGCUCUCUCUCUAAUCUGGGCCUGAAGAUCCUCAGUCAAGGGGGUCACAG